AUACGGAGGGUCCGAGCGUUAAUCGGAAUUACUGGGCGUAAAGCGCGCGUAGGCGGCUAUAUAAGUUAGAUGUGAAAUCCCUGGGCUCAACCUAGGAACUGCAUUUGAAACUGUAUGGCUAGAGUAUGGUAGAGGUGAGUGGAAUUUCAGGUGUAGCGGUGAAAUGCGUAGAGAUCUGAAGGAACAUCAGUGGCGAAGGCGACUCACUGGGCCAUUACUGACGCUGAGGUGCGAAAGCGUGGGUAGCAAACAGGAUUAGAUACCCUAGUAGUCC
rnacentral:rRNA from 1 species